AGCAAUCUGCCUUGGAGUGGGGAAUAACGGCCGGAAACAGCCGCUAAUACCGCAUGACGCGUCUGGGAGGCAUCUCUCUGGACGCCAAAGAUUUAUCGCUCUGAGAUGAGCUCGCGUCUGAUUAGCUAGUUGGCGGGGUAACGGCCCACCAAGGCGACGAUCAGUAGCCGGACUGAGAGGUUGGCCGGCCACAUUGGGACUGAGACACGGCCCAGACUCCUACGGAAGGCAGCAG
rnacentral:rRNA from 1 species